rnacentral:rRNA from 1 species
UGACCUCAAAUCGGGUGAGAGAGGA